rnacentral:rRNA from 2 species
UACCGCGGUUAUACGAGAGACCCAAAUUGACAAGUUCGGCGUAAAGCGUGGUUAAGGAUAACUUAAAGUAAAGCCGAAUAUACUCAAGGCUGUUAUAAGCUCCCGAUUACAAGAAGCCCGACUACGAAAGUGACUUUACAAUACCUGAUCCCACGAAAGCUAGGGUA